AAUUAAGGUAGAUCGACUAAGUUCAGAGACGUCCUGUCGCAACGUCGAUCGACUGUACGUCUAGUGAU
rnacentral:sRNA from 1 species